rnacentral:rRNA from 1 species
UACGUAGGGUGCAAGCGUUGUCCGGAAUUAUUGGGCGUAAAGAGCUCGUAGGCGGUCUGUCGCGUCUGCUGUGAAAACCCGGGGCUCAACCCCGGGCUUGCAGUGGAUACGGGCAGACUAGAGUUCGGUAGGGGAGACUGGAAUUCCUGGUGUAGCGGUGAAAUGCGCAGAUAUCAGGAGGAACACCGGUGGCGAAGGCGGCUCACUGGCCCGGUACUGACGCUGAGGUGCGAAAGCGUGGGGAGCAAACAGG